rnacentral:rRNA from 1 species
UUAGAGUUUGAUCCUGGCUCAAGAUGAACGCUAGCGGCAGGCUUAACACAUGCAAGUCGAGGGGCAGCAUGUCCAGCAAUGGAUGAUGGCGACCGGCGGAAGGGUGCGUAACGCGUGAGCAACAUGCCCUAUACAGGGAGAUACACCAGGGAAACUUGGUCUAAUAUCCCAUAGCAUUCAUUGAAGGCAUCUUUAAUGAAUUAAAGCUUCGGUGGUAUAGGAUUGGCUCGCGUGACAUUAGCCAGAUGGUGAGGUAACGGCUCACCAUAGCAAUGAUGUCUAGGGGUUUUGAGAGGAACGCCCCCCACACUGGGACUGAGACACGGCCCACACUCCUACGGGAGGCAGCAGUGAGGAAUAUUGGACAAUGGAUGGAAAUCUGAUCCAGCCGUGCCGCGUGCAAGAAGACGGCCUUAUGGGUUGUAAACUGCUUUUAUACGGGAGCAAUAAGGGUUACGAGUAAUCCGAUGAGAGUACUGUAUGAAUAAGGAUCGGCUAACUCCGUGCCAGCAGCCGCGGUAAUACGGAGGAUCCGAGCGUUAUCCGGAAUUAUUGGGUUUAAAGGGUGCGUAGGCGGCCAUUUAAGUCAGCGGUGAAAUUUUGCAGCUUAACUGUAACAGUGCCGUUGAUACUGUUUGGCUAGGAUUUGGUUGUAGUGUGCGGAAUGUGUGGUGUAGCGGUGAUAUGCUUAGAUAUCACACAAAACACUGAUUGCGAAGGCAGCACACUAAGUCAUUAUUGACGCUGAGGCACGAAAGUGUGGGGAUCAAACAGGAUUAGAUACCCUGGUAGUCCACACUGUAAACGAUGAUAACUCGCUGUCGGCGAUACACAGUCGGUGGCCAAGCGAAAGCAUUAAGUUAUCCACCUGGGGAGUACGACCGCAAGGUUGAAACUCAAAGGAAUUGACGGGGGCCCGCACAAGCAGCGGAGCAUGUGGUUUAAUUCGAAGCAACGCGAAGAACCUUACCUAGACUUGACAUCUCCUGCAUUACUCUUAAUCGAGGAAGUCCCUUCGGGGACAGGAUGACAGGUGGUGCAUGGUCGUCGUCAGCUCGUGUCGUGAGAUGUUGGGUUAAGUCCCGCAACGAGCGCAACCCUUAUUGUUAGUUGCCAUCAUUAAGUUGGGCACUCUAGCGAGACUGCCCGGGUUAACCGGGAGGAAGGUGGGGAUGACGUCAAAUCAUCAUGCCCCUUAUGUCUAGGGCUACACACGUGCUACAAUGGUCGGUACAAUAAGACGCAAGCCCGCGAGGGGGAGCAAAACUGGAAAACCGAUCUCAGUUCGGAUUGUAGGCUGAAACUCGCCUACAUGAAGCUGGAGUUGCUAGUAAUCGCGAAUCAGCAUGUCGCGGUGAAUACGUUCCCGGGCCUUGCACACGCCGCCCGUCAAG